CCCAUGUAUUCCAGGCAGGAUACUGUAAUAAAUAGGAGACAGCUACAGUGAUCCAACUAAACCAACAGGGGAUUUUCAUCAGCACUUCCCUGGUGUAAUCAUGGUGCAGAUUAUUAAAGACAUGAAUGAAUUCAAAACAUUUUUGACAGCUGCCGGACACAAACUCGCAGUGGUUGAAUUUUCUUCGAAACAGUGUGGUCCCUGCAAAAGGAUGGUUCCUGUUUUCCAUGCUAUGUCUGUGAAAUACCAAAAUGUAUUUUUUGCUAAUGUGGAUGUGAACAAUUCUCCGGAACUGGCUGAAACUUGUCACAUCAAAACAAUACCCACAUUUCAGAUGUUCAAGAAAAGGCAGAAGGGCUCCAUCUUCAGGCCUACACCAACCAGUGAACUCCAUCCCCAUCAGAAAUGGACCCUUGACUCCAGUCAAGCCAAUCCAAGUCAAACCAGAGCUAAUUGCAAGACUUUGCUUAAGCAGCUAGGUAAAUAACCUUCUCUUUUGAUAUCACUGGAUUUGAAUUUGGGAAGAUAUGAGUCUGAAGCUACUACAGCUUGUCACCAUGUAAAACUUGAAAAUGAAUCUACCACACAGAAGAAAACAGAGUCAAGCCAAGAGAACUGACUAGGAAGGUGUCCAUGAACAUCCACUGUUUUCCUGGUGGGUCAAGAAAAAUCAAAUGCACUUUUUUGAGGACUACCUCCAUAAAUGUGCUCCUCUCAUUUAUCUGGGACAGCACAACUGAAAACUGACUUAUUGAAGCAGUUAAGUACUGUGUGUCUUUUAUUAUUUUAAAAAAUAAAACCUAGAGUCCAGUUCCUAUUAAGGCUUCUUACAAGAAAUGUCUUACAUUUCUGGUAAAACAUCUGGCAAAGAGCCACUUGUCCAUUAUACCCUUUUAAAUGUACAUUGUAUAAAAAGCUUUAUGAUAAUUUCUCCCAGAACACAAGAGUUAGGAGAAUACUCACCUCCCUUGAAAGUAUGGCUCUCUUCUCUGCAUUGGAUCAGAAAAGCUAGGGAAUCCCUUGGGCUUCUCUUUUUGCCAUGGCCACCAAGAAUCUCAGGAUUGCCUCCUCUGCUCAAACAUAGUAAUCUCCCUUACCAGCAGUUUCCUGGCACUCCCUAUCAGCCACACCCACACAGCAACAUCCUUGAAUGGUUUCAUUAUUUUUUCUUCCCCUUGAUUCUAGCUCGUUUCAAUUAUUUUCAAAGUAUAUAAAACAUCAAUAAAAUAGAACUUGAAAAAACUAAAACAAACGAAGCUAUAUACAAUGACCUAGGACCAUGGCAGAUUAUGGGCCAUCCCUGGUUGCUGAAGUUUUCAUGCAGAGAUUGAACGAACAUCUGGCAGGGAUGCAAUAUAAGCAGUGGCUGAAGUUAUGUCCUAGUUCUAGGGCAAAGAAGAGCCUAAGCAAAUUCCAGGUAAUAAAUAAGGGGAGCUUGUUCCUUCCUGCUGUACUCCUUGGUGUUUUCAUCUAGGACAUCACAUCAUGUUUCAGGAAGAUUAAUUGUGGUAAAUAAGAUCAUUCCUGUGGUUUCUUCCAGAUGGGGGAGCCAAAACUUUGUCUGGUCUUUGUAACCAGAAUAUUAAACUGUAUUCUCUUGUAAGUUGUUCAUAAAUUGGAUUUAUAGAUCCUCUUAAAAUCUAAUAAAGGCUAUGAACUGUCUCCAUCCGGACAAAAGAACAUAGGCACAUAAACUAAAAUGUGAGAUAAUAGUAGGAUAUUCAGUGACCCUCUGAAGCCUAUCAAUGGAUCCCCAAAGUGAAUAACUUUGGUUGUAGACCCAUUGAAUUAAUCUGUUCUCAUGCUGCUAAUAAAGACACACCUGAGACUGGGUAAUUUAUACAGGAAAGAGGUUUAAUUGAUUCACAGCUCCACAUGACCAGGGAGGCCUCACAAUCAUGGUGGAAGGCAAAGGAGAAGCAAAGGGAUGUCUUACAUGAUGGCAGGCAAGAGGGUGUGCGCAGGGGAACUCCCCUUUAUAAAACCAUCAGACUCUCAUAAGACUUAUUCACUAUCAAGAGAAUAGCACAAGAAAGACCCGCCCCCAUGAUUCAAUUACCUCCUACUGGGUCCCUCCCAUGACACAUGGGAAUUAUGGGAGCUACAACUCAAGAUGAGAUUUGGAUACACAACUCAUGGUUGGUGUAUGUCUAUGGAGUAGGGAAAGAGAAACCAGGAAUUAGCAAGUUUGGGGCAACUGCUUAAAUAUAAGCCAACCAUCAAAAGUUGACUCCAUCUUUCAUUCUUUGAUUAUAGAAUAAAAUAGUUUCCCAAAGCACUUAGGUUCACUCAUAAGAGAGAUGGGAUAUGAGUACAUAGAUGCUACUAAACAAAUUAGUCACAAAUGAAUAAUUCAGGAAAACCCAUCUGCUAGACUGAGCUAUCAUAUAAAGUGGGAGGAAGCUUGUGCCCUUAUGUUUAUGAACUGUAGGGCUCUUGCUGAGAUUAUAAAAGUCAUUUCAACAGCACGCUCCUUAAAGUAGGUACAGGAAUUACAAGAAUCUCCAGGAGAUGAUACCGUGGUAUGCUAGAAAGAGGACAAGAUUGGAAGCAAGGGUCACACACUCUGUGUCUUCAAGGACCAAGUAGGGAGAAUAAGGUGAAACAAUACUUUUGAGGAAGAUGUUGGUGCCUGGAGAAUCAUGUUCCCAGAUUCUCUCUGUUCAACUUCAUAAAACACAGUGCUUGAUCCAUCUCCCAAAAGAGCGUCUUCAGUAAGUUUUUGCCAUCUAUAGAAUCAGACAACUGCAGGUUGAGCCCCAGGUCUGCCUCUUAUUAGUGGCAAAGUACCAUAACCACCUUGAGGCUUAGUUUCCUUCUCUGUAAAAUGGGGACACCACCUAUCUUUAAACAACUGUCAGGCAAAUUUGUGAUAUUGUAUCUAAAGUGCCUAGCACUGGACUUGGUAAAUACUAGAAGAUGUAGCUAUCAUUAGAGUCCCAGGAUCUAGCUGUGCACACCCAUCUCUCUGAAAAUGUAUAAAUAAAUAGUAAUUUAGAAAUAAAGUUUAUGAAGACCUCUAAGGCUCUUUCAAUAACUACAACAUCCAUUUAAGCUAAGUCAUUUUAGCAUUCAGGAGUUGCCUACCCAAUAAUAUUUAACCUGUCAAGGACUGUGUUACACACAGAGAUGUUCUGCAUGAGAAAAAAAAGAAACCUCUCACGUGCAGGACUCUGAAGGUGCAGAUCCCUAAAAGGGGUUCCUAUCAACUCCAUAAACAGCUGAUGCACUGGCAGAGAUUGACUGGGGGUCGGGGGGCAAGAACUAAGUGAGAUGGAACAAAAGUGGGCAAAGUGUAGUAACUAUUUAGAAACAUCUAGCAACCUUUAGCACCGUUGCUAAAGAUGCUGCUCUCUGCUUUAACAGUUGAAAGGCUCACGUGUGUCUCUUCUCCCAAGCAGGUAUUAGGGUGCAGCAAGCAAGUUAGGAUAUGACAAGUGCAGGAUUAAAUCUUACCUUUAUUUAAAUUUUUGAUAUUUUGUUCAUCAUGGAUUUUUUGCAUUGGGUUUUAAUACUUUUAUAUAAUACUUAUUAACAUAAUAUUUAUCUUGAUUACUGAGUUUUGGCAGCUACCCCUUAAAUUUUUUUUUUUUAGACGGAGUCGUGCUCUGUCGCCCAGGCUGGAAGGCAGUGGUGCUAUCUCGGCCCACUGCAAGCUCCACCUCCCUGCUUCACGCCAUUCUCCUGCCUCAGCCUCGCGAGUAGCUGGGACUACAGGUGUCCGCCACAAUGCCCGGCUAAUUUUUUGUAUUUUUUAGUAGAGACAGGGUUUCACCGUGUUAGGCAGGAUGGUCUCGAUCUCCUGACCUCGUGAUCCAUCUGCCUCGGCCUCCCAAAGUGCUGGGAUUACAGGCGUGAGCAACCGCG